UUUGCAGUGUGAUUACUAAUCCAGUUUUAGUUAUAUUUCAGCUAUGGUUUAGCUGAAUUUAUACAAAAAGCCAGAGCUGGGCCUCAGCUAUAGGAGGGCCUUGCUGCUGCUUCUUUGUUGUUGUUCUAAAGAUCUCAUUU